CGUCCUUUUCCUUUCGGCGAGCGCGGGGCGGCGGGAGCGGAGCGGCGGCGGGAGCGGAGCGGCGGCGGCGCCUCAGAGGGACCGGGAUCGGGACUGGGAUCGGGAUAGGCACCGGCCUCGGCCUCUCCCGGCGGGGCCAGCGGGAAGCCCUGCGUCCCUCAGGUGCAGGAAGCCGGUGCUGGUAGAGGCGGCUCCACAGCUGCGCCUUCCCCGCCAUGUUGUGGCGAGGCUCCCUCAGGGCCGGGACCGCUUCCCGCCGGCCCCGGCGCUGAGCGGCUGCGGAACACGAGCGAGCCUGGCAGUGGACAAAAAAAUAAAAUGACCAGAAUGGUGUGACUUCAGAAAUGGAGGGUGAUCCUUCAGGAGAAGGCUGCCCCAGCAAGCUUCAGCCGCCUUGCUGACUAGGCAGCCCUGAGCCGAGGCAGACCCGGAGGAGCCCAGCCCAGGUGAGCUGCACUGCUGGGAGGUGCCCCACUCGUGUUGCAGGUGUGGCUGCGCUGCUGGAAGCUGCCAGCCCUGCCCAGAUUAUGCCUUGAGCUGCAGAAUGUCUGACAAACUGAGAACUGCUUGGCAGCAUCCACGUCUGAUGGCUUGGAGAUUCCUGAAACUUUGAUCAGCUGUGUUUUCUCUACAUGGUUAAGAAGGAUUUAAAUAAAAAAUAAACCUAAAUAAAGAUGCCACCUACAAGACUGAAAGCA